UGGUACCCAGAAUAUAAAAAUAAAUUAAUAUGAGUGAUUUAGAGACUUCAUUAUCUGAGGCGUUUUUAAUGGAAAUUUUCUAACGGAUAUACAGAUGUUUAUAUGUAUUCUCACACAAGCACUACCAUUUAGUAAAGCACGUUGAAGACGUAUAAAUUUUGGAAAACUAUGCAACAAUCCCCAACUCUCAGAAUUUUUUUUUUUUUUUUUUUUUUUUUUUUUUUUUUUUUUAGGGGACGCUCAAUAUAUGAAUGGAUGAAAAACCUUCUUGCAGGAAAGAUACAUUUGAAUAUUUUCUUAAGAAGCCCAAACUCGAUAUAAACUAGAUAAUAUAAAGAACUGAAAGGCUUCAUUUAACAAAAAAUGGACGCUUUGCAUUCCGCUCCUGGAAAGUGCUACUAUGAGUUGUAAUAAAAUGCAAGAGGUCUUGUUCAACAAGUCCAAAGGCAUUUCUACUGAAGACAGAAAGCGCAACUUGAAAAAUCUGCAGAACAUAUCUGAAUGUUAAUACACUCAAGUGCAUACGAACAUUUUCAGUCAGUUAGUGACAAAUAUAUGAGGGAGAAAUAAAUGCUUAUGCAGAAAAUCAUUCAUUAUGCAGAAGAUAAAUAAAUACCUACACUAUAGAUAAAUUAUUAUGCAGAGGAUGAAUGCCUAUACAUAGGAUGGCGUCAAGGAAAGGAAAAAUGUGUAUGUAGGAGAAGAAAUAUUUUCCCAGUAAGGAAAAAAAAAAAAAAAAAAAAA